GUACCCGCUUCGGCGGUACGUGUGCUGAAACUGGAACGAUACUGAGAAGAUUAGCGUGGCCCCUGCGCAAGGAUGACACGCAAAAUCGUGAAGCGUCAGCCGCAAGU